rnacentral:rRNA from 1 species
UACAGAGGGUGCAAGCGUUAAUCGGAAUUACUGGGCGUAAAGCGUGCGUAGACGGUUACAUAAGUCGGGUGUGAAAGCCCCGGGCUCAACCUGGGAAUUGCAUUCGAGACUGCGUAGCUAGGGUGCGGAAGAGGGAAGCGGAAUUUCCGGUGUAGCGGUGAAAUGCGCAGAUAUCGGGAGGAACACCAGUAGCGAAGGCGGCUCGCUGGGCCAUUCCUGACGCUGAGACGCGAAAGCUAGGGGAGCGAACAGG